rnacentral:rRNA from 1 species
UACGGAGGGGGCUAGCGUUGUUCGGAAUUACUGGGCGUAAAGCGCACGUAGGCGGCUUUGCAAGUUAGAGGUGAAAGCCCGGGGCUCAACUCCGGAAUUGCCUUUAAAACUGCAUCGCUAGAAUUGUGGAGAGGUAAGUGGAAUUCCGAGUGUAGAGGUGAAAUUCGUAGAUAUUCGGAAGAACACCGGUGGCGAAGGCGGCCUGCUGGGACAUGGCUGGACGCUGAGCGCGACAGCGUGGGGGAGCAAACAGG